rnacentral:rRNA from 1 species
UACGUAGGGUCCAAGCGUUAAUCGGAAUUACUGGGCGUAAAGCGUGCGCAGGCGGUUCUGAAAGUCAGCUGUGAAAGCCCCGGGCUUAACCUGGGAAUUGCGGUUGAAACUACAGGGCUAGAAUCUGGCAGAGGGGGGUGGAAUUCCGCGUGUAGCAGUGAAAUGCGUAGAUAUGCGGAGGAACACCGAUGGCGAAGGCAAUCCCCUGGGCCUGCACUGACGCUCAUGCACGAAAGCGUGGGGAGCAAACAGG